AGCGAACGCUGGCGGCAGGCCUAACACAUGCAAGUCGAACGGCAGCACAGUAAGAGCUUGCUCUUACGGGUGGCGAGUGGCGGACGGGUGAGGAAUACAUCGGAAUCUACUUUUUCGUGGGUGAUAACGUAGGGAAACUUACGCUAAUACCGCAUACGACCUACGGGUGAAAGCAGGGGAUCUUCGGACCUUGCGCGAUUGCAUGAGCCGAUGUCGGAUUAGCUAGUUGGCGGGGUAAAGGCCCACCAAGGCGACGAUCCGUAGCUGGUCUGAGAGGAUGAUCAGCCACACUGGGACUGAGACACGGCCCAGACUCCUACGGGAGGCAGCAGUGGGGAAUAUUGGACAAUGGGCGCAAGCCUGAUCCAGCCACGCCGCGUGGGUGAAGAAGGCCUUCGGGUUGUAAAGCCCUUUUGUUGGGGAAGAAAAGCAGCAGGAUAAUACCCCGCUGUUCUGACGGUACCUAAAGAAUAAGCACCGGCUAACUUCGUG
rnacentral:rRNA from 1 species